rnacentral:rRNA from 1 species
UACGGGGGGUGCGAGCGUUGUCCGGAAUCACUGGGCGUAAAGGGUGCGUAGGUGGCCAGGUAAGUUCGGUGUGAAAGCUCGGAGCUUAACUCCGAAAUGGCAUUGAAUACUAUCUGGCUAGAGGGUCGGAGGGGAGACUGGAAUUCUCGGUGUAGCAGUGAAAUGCGUAGAUAUCGAGAGGAACACCAGUGGCGAAGGCGAGUCUCUGGACGACAACUGACACUGAGGCACGAAAGCCAGGGGAGCAAACAGG